rnacentral:rRNA from 1 species
UACGUAGGCAGCAAGCGUUGUUCGGAAUUACUGGGCGUAAAGAGUGUGCAGGCGGUGCUCUAAGUCUGUCGUGAAAUCUCCCGGCUUAACUGGGAGGGUGCGGCGGAAACUGGAAUGCUAGAGGGUGGGAGAGGAAAGCGGAAUUCCUGGUGUAGCGGUGAAAUGCGUAGAUAUCAGGAGGAACACCUGCGGUGUAGACAGCUUUCUGGACCACUUCUGACGCUGAGACACGAAAGCGUGGGUAGCAAACAGG